rnacentral:rRNA from 1 species
ACGAUAGCUAAUACCGCAUAACAUUGACUAUUGCAUGAUAGUCAAUUGAAAGGUGCAAAUGCACCACUAUCAGAUGGACCUGCGUUGUAUUAGCUAGUUGGUGGGUAACGGCUCACCAAGGCGACGAUACAUAGCCGACCUGAGAGGGUGAUCGGCCACACUGGGACUGAGACACGGCCCAGACUCCUACGGGAGCGAGCAGUGGGAAGUUUCCGUCAAUGGCGAAAGCCUAGCGGAGCAAGACCGCGUGGGAGAAGGCUCUGGUUGUAAACCCGUUUCUACGUGUGGAGG